rnacentral:tRNA from 1 species
AAAAGAUAAGCUAAAUUAAGCUAAUGGGUUCAUACCCCAUUUAUAAAGGAUACUCCUUUUCUUUUUA